rnacentral:rRNA from 1 species
AUGGCAUCGGCUUCGAGCAGGGGAGGGAGGAUGUCCUCAUCGGCGGCGACUCCGAAGAAGGCGGCUCAGCCGGAGAAGGCGGAGCAGAUCGGUAAGACGAAGGGGGGAUCUUCUGAAUCCCCGGAUGGCAAGACGUCGGAGGAGGCCGUGUCCCUAUCGGCGAAGAUGGGGAGCUUGGCGCUGACUGAGAAGGAAGCGGCGGGUUUUGUGUUUAGCGAGCCAGGAUCAUCGAAGAAGCAGGUUCCGAAGUGGGCUGUCGUGGGGAAGUCUUUCUCCCCGCGGCCGUUGAAUCGCCAUGCUUUUGAGAGGGCGAUGCAGAGAGCUUGGGGUCUCCAUCGGGAAGCGCAGUUUAAGGAUCUAGGUGGCAACAUCUUCAUGAUCAAAUUUGGUAGUGAGGGAGACUGGAGGCACGCUCUGAAUAAUGGUCCUUGGCAGUUUGAUUUUAAUGUGGUGGCACUAAAAGAUUAUGAUGGUCAGACUAGACCAUCAGAGAUGAUUUUUGAUUCUAUUGAUGUGUGGGUUAGAGUGGAUGAUUUACCUCUGGACAGGAGAUCGAAGGAGUUUGGAGAAGCCCUAGGGAACUGGAUUGGGAAAACAGUAAGGGUGGAUGUGGGAGAUGAUGGUAUGGCUAGAGGAACGCAGCUAAGGGUAAGGACAAAGAUCCAACUGCAUGAACCAUUAGUUCGUGGUUUUUACCUGAAGAAGAAGAUGGAGGGUGAAGAACUCAGAGUUAAGAAACCUGAAGAGGAGGAACAAACCUGGUUUGAUUUUGCUUAUGAAAAAGUACCUCAUUUUUGUUUUGACUGCGGUAGACUUGUGCAUGUGGAUGGUAUUUGUGACCCCCCGGUCGACCCACUGUCACAGUGGGGGGAAUGGUUGCGGGCGUCCCUAGGCAGAUCAUCAUCGGGACCGCAUGAGAAGAAGCAAAGUUGGGGAGGAUCAGGCAAUGGGGGAAGCAAAGAGGGCUCUAUGUCUAGUGCUGGAGAGCAUGGUGCAAAGGGCGGAGUGUUUGUCAGAGAUCUACCAACAUGA